CCUACGGGAGGCAGCAGUGGGGAAUAUUGGGCAAUUGGCGCAAGCCUGACCCAGCAACGCCGCGUGAGGGAAGAAGGCUUUCGGGUUGUAAACUUCUUUUCUCAGGGACGAAGAAAGUGACGGUACCUGAGGAAUAAGCCACGGCUAACUCCGUGCCAGCAGCCGCGGUAAUACGGAGGAUGCGAGCGUUAUCCGGAUUUAUUGGGUUUAAAGGGUGCGUAGGCGGACUGUUAAGUCAGCGGUAAAAGCCCGGGGCUCAACCCCGGAGAGCCGUUGAAACCGGCUGUCUUGAGAUGUCGAGAGGUAUGCGGAAUGCGCAGUGUAGCGGUGAAAUGCUUAGAUAUUGCGCAGAACUCCGAUUGCGAAGGCAGCAUACCGGCGGCGAUCUGACGCUGAGGCACGAAAGCGUGGGUAUCGAACAGGAUUAGAUACCCCUGUAGUC
rnacentral:rRNA from 1 species